UGGAAAUCACAUAUCCUGUGAAACUUUAACAAAUUUAUUUAAGAGAAUAUAUAUUUAAGUACUCAUAUUGUAUAUAAGUAAACCCAACUGACCACAAGAGAACCAAGGUUUUAGUCUGGCAAUAUACACCAAAAAAAAAAAAAAAAAAAAAAAGUGAGAAAAGGAAAUAAAACAUUAGCAACCAGAAUCCUAAUUGGGGAUAUCACCACAGAUCCCACAGAAAUACAAACUACUAUCAGACAAUAUUAUAAACAACUCAAUGCAAAUAAAUAAGAAAAUUCAGAAGAAAUGGAUAAAUUCCUGUACAAAUAAACCCUCCC
rnacentral:lncRNA from 1 species